UACGGAGGGUGCAAGCGUUGCUCGGAAUUAUUGGGCGUAAAGGGCAGGUAGGUGGUCUUAUUUGUCUUGUGUGAAAGCCUUGGGCUUAACCCAAGAAGUGCGCAAGAAACGGUAAGACUAGAGUCCCAGAGAGGCUUGUGGAAUUCCCGGUGUAGCGGUGAAAUGCGCAGAUAGUCAGGAGGAACACCGGUGGCGAAGGCGGGUCUCUGGGCCGAUGACUGACGCUGGAGGAGCGAAAGCGUGGGGAGCGAACGGG
rnacentral:rRNA from 1 species